rnacentral:sRNA from 1 species
CCACGGUGCUCAUUGGGAACCCCUCGACGGGGUAUUUGGAGCACAUCCAGAGCAUCCUGCUCGGCGAGAAGAGGCAAAAGGCCGAAAUGGCACAAAAGAAAAAGUCCUUGGAGGAGAGACGCCUGAAGAUGAUUGAAAUCAAGAAGAAGAAGGCGCUCAUCGCCAAACAAAAGAA